UACGAAGGGUGCAAGCGUUACUCGGAAUUACUGGGCGUAAAGCGUGCGUAGGUGGCGCGCUAAGUCGGGUGUGAAAUUUCGGAGCUUAACUCCGAAACUGCAUUCGAUACUGGCGUGCUUGAGGACUGGAGAGGAGACUGGAAUUCAUGGUGUAGCAGUGAAAUGCGUAGAGAUCAUGAGGAAGACCAGUGGCGAAGGCGGGUCUCUGGACAGUUCCUGACACUGAGACACGAAGGCCAGGGGAGCAAACGGG
rnacentral:rRNA from 1 species